rnacentral:rRNA from 1 species
GUAACGGCGAGUGAAGCGGCAACAGCUCAAAUUUGAAAUCUGGCCUCUUCGGGGUCCGAGUUGUAAUUUGUAGAGGGUGUUUCGGGCGCGAUGCCGGUCUAAGUUCUUUGGAACAGGACGUCGUAGAGGGUGAGAAUCCCGUAUGCGACCGGCGAUCAAGCCUGUGUGAAGCCCCUUCGACGAGUCGAGUUGUUUGGGAAUGCAGCUCAAAAUGGGUGGUAAAUUUCAUCUAAAGCUAAAUAUUGGCCAGAGACCGAUAGCGGACAAGUAGAGUGAUCGAAAGAUGAAAAGCACUUUGGAAAGAGAGUCAAACAGUACGUGAAAUUGUUGAAAGGGAAGCGCUUGCAAUCAGACCGGUCCGGAGGCGAUCAGCCGCUGCUCGUCAGCGGUGCACUCGCCUGCGAUCCGGCCAGCAUCGGUUUGGGCGGCGGGAGAAAAGGCCGGGGAAUGUAGCUUCUUUCGGGGAGUCUUAUAGCCCGGGUCGCAAUGCCGCCCGCCUGGACCGAGGACCGCGCUUCGGCU